CCUUAGUUACCGGUACAUAAGUUUGUCCUUGCCUUGAAAGUAGCUUUACAUUCUGCAGCUAGCUUUAAUUCCUGAGGUUCAAACUAACAUUAGCAUUGAGUUGCAACCCUGCCACCCUCCUUUCCAUAGCAUGUUUUUUUAACACUUACAUUUGUCUCCGGCUCAGUUGUCACAUCAGUGCUUUGAAAAUGACUCCUCCACCUUACUACAUUCAAGUCAGUCCAAUUCCUUUCUAGUUCUCGAUUCCCAAAGUUUUGCCUCUGGGUUACGGUCAGACUCCUGUGUUGUUCAAACGAAUAACUGUUCUUUUGCCCGGUUGUCAAUCGGUUGCCCAUUUUGACUCGGUGUAAACUCGUCCUCUUACAAAAGAACAAUGGCUUCACAGAUGAUCAUUCCCACUUCUUGAGUCAUAUGACAUUCAGUGGCACCAUGAUCACGCCCUUAAAAAAAAAAAUCAUAAACACCGUGCACCUCAACGCUUCCUUUCCAUUCGCAUCGUUGAACACAAACACAACCAUUCCUCCCUCACUGGCUGACAACAUUUUGCAGAAAUGACUAUUCAACUCCGAGUAAAUGGACCCAGAGGAGAGGAAAAGGUCAUCGAUGUGUGCGAAAAUGAAGAGGAUUUAAAGAAGAUGACUGUCAAGCAGCUGAGAGAUAAGAUUGCUCGAGAACUAGAGAUAAAUGGAGACAUCCGGAUGGUGUACAGAACUGAGCCGCUGGAUGAGUCUUCCCUGCUGUUGUCCUACGGGAUCCGACACAUGUCCACCAUCCAUACGCUGCUUAUGCUGCCCGGAGGCAUCAUGGGAUGAAGACCCAGCAGAGAAAAAAAGACUCUAAACAACAAUGUCAAUAAUUUAAACCAAAAACAAAGAUGAUUGUAUUGUGAAAACAAAUCUAUUGCUCUUUCAUUUUGCCUCUAUCCUUUGCUUAAUGCUUAAAUAAAUGGCUUAAAUAUGCUAAUCCA